GUAAAAUGCCAAAGAGAAGCAGAAUGACAUCAAGAGGGAACCACGCUGUGAGGUCAAAGGGCUACACCUGGCCAAAGGCAGAGGCCAGGACCACAACAUCAAUACACAUCAGCAGUGAAAGGAUGUGGAGGAGUGGAUGAAUGCCAACAUUUCCAGAGUACCACCCACCAGUAGGAGGAUGCAAGGCAUAUGUGAGUUUAGUGAUGGAUUUUCCACAUAAAAUGUUCUGCUCCAAAAAACCUCCUUGGAUAACUCCCCCAAGAUCUUCUCAUCUUUGCUCAAGUCCCACUUUCUCCAUGUUGCCUGCUCUGAACCCUCAGUUAAUGCUGAAACCUGCCUCCCGACAACAUCGCCCAUCUUCAUUUUCUUUUCAACAUAAGGUUUAUCACCUGCUGUCUCAGUCUGUCUGGUGCCACUGGUGAUAUGUAGGAAGACAAAUGGCAACGUGCUAAGGAUAGCCAAAUGGAAAGAUAGGAAAGAGUUUGCCUCUCUAACGACAUCACUGACAAGAUGAAUGUACACUUACAAUAUCUACUUCAAGAAUUCUUCAGACCACAGCAAAAAAUCUCUAUCAGGUGGGCCUCAUCCAAUCAGUUGAAAGCCUUAAUAGAAGAAGACUGAUCUCUUUCAGAAGAAGCAGGAAUUCUGUCUGCAGACAGCCUUUGGACCACAAGAUCAACUCUCCUCUAGCUCUCCAGCCUGAUGGCCUACCCUACUGAUUUUGGACUUGCCAGCUUUCACUAUCACAUGAAAUCAAUUCCCUAAAAUAAAUCUCUCUUAAAAUAAAUCUCUUAAAACAAGUCUCUCCUCUCUCUUUCUUUCUCUCUGUCUCUGUCUCUGUCUCUCUCUCUCUCUGUCUAUAUAUAAACAUAUGUCUAUAU
rnacentral:lncRNA from 1 species